rfam:Streptococcus pneumoniae SP6-BS73 ctg865, whole genome shotgun sequence.
UGAGAAAAGCAGAAGUGAGAGCUUCUCGCCUUGUGACAUUAAGUUGCCUGGCCCUACGGAUGAAAAGUUUCGAAGAAACGCUAUCAUAACGUGCGGGCUUGUAUAUUUACGAGUCCGCUAUUGUUUUUCUCU